rnacentral:rRNA from 1 species
UACGGGGGGGGCAAGCGUUGUUCGGAAUUACUGGGCGUAAAGGGCUCGUAGGCGGCCAACUAAGUCAGACGUGAAAUCCCUCGGCUUAACCGGGGAACUGCGUCCGAUACUGGAUGGCUUGAGUUUGGGAGAGGGAUGCGGAAUUCCAGGUGUAGCGGUGAAAUGCGUAGAUAUCUGGAGGAACACCGGUGGCGAAGGCGGCAUCCUGGACCAACACUGACGCUGAUGAGCGAAAGCCAGGGGAGCAAACGGG